rnacentral:rRNA from 1 species
UACGUAGGGGGCUAGCGUUGUCCGGAAUCAUUGGGCGUAAAGCGCGUGUAGGCGGCCCGGUAAGUCCGCUGUGAAAGUCGGGGGCUCAACCCUCGAAAGCCGGUGGAUACUGUCGGGCUCGAGUGCGGAAGAGGCGAGUGGAAUUCCUGGUGUAGCGGUGAAAUGCGCAGAUAUCAAGAGGAACACCUGCGGCGAAGGCGGGUUGCUGGGCCGACACUGACGCUGAGGCGCGAAAGCUAGGGGAGCGAACGGG